rnacentral:rRNA from 1 species
GAAUGGAGGACCGAACACACAUCCGUUGAAAAGGGUGGUGAUGAGGUGUGGAUAGGGGAGAAAUUCCAAUCGAACCCGGAGAUAGCUGGUUCUCCUCGAAAUAGUUUUAGGACUAGCCUCGUUAUUAGUCUACCGGAGGUAGAGCACUGAAUUUUUGCGGGGGCGUCAAAGCCUACCAAGAGAUAUCAAACUCCGAAUGCCGGCUAGAUGAUUGACGGGAGUCAGACUACACGAGAUAAGUUGGGUAGUCAAAAGGGAAAGAGCCCAGACCUACGGCUAAGGUCCCAAAGUGUGUGUUAAGUGGAAAAGGAUGUGGGAUUUCGAAGACAGCUAGGAUGUUGGCUUAGAAGCAGCCAUACAUUAAAAGAGUGCGUAACAGCUCACUAGUCGAGAGGUCCUGCGCCGAAAAUGUCCGGGGCUAAACACAACACCGAAGCCUGGGAAUGUAGUAAUACAUUGGUAGAGGAGCAUUCUUAGAGGCGUAGAAGCCAUACCGGAAGGAAUGGUGGAGUAAUAAGAAGAGAGAAUGCCGGAAUGAGUAGCGAGAAAGAGGUGAGAAUCCUCUUGGCCGAAUAUCUAAGGUUUCCUGAGUAAAGCUGAUCUACUCAGGGUAAGUCGGGGCCUAAGGCAAGGUCGAAAGACGUAGUCGAUGGAUAACAGGUACAGAUUCCUGUACUACAUAUAAUCAGAACUGUGGGGACACGGAGACUGAAACCGAACCCGGGAGGACAAAAACCGGGGCAAGCGAAGUACCUGUAUGGGAGGAAAAACCACCAUACAAGGGGAAAACGUGAUGCGUACCGAAAAUUAGUAGGGAAGUCGGUUAGGGAGCCGUCAAGAAAAGCCGCUAUUGUGUUAUAUGUACCCGUACCGCAAACCGACACAGGUAGAUGAGGAGAGAAUCCUAAGGCCGGCGGGAGAAGCAUUGUUAAGGAACUCGGCAAAAUGACCCCGUAACUUCGGGAGAAGGGGUGCCACUGGAAACAGUGGUCGCAGAAAAAAGGCUCAAGCAACUGUUUAGCAAAAACACAGGUCUAUGCGAAACCGCAAGGUGAAGUAUAUGGGCUGACGCCUGCCCGGUGCCGGAAGGUUAAGAGGAGAAGUCAGGAAACGAAGCUUUGAAUUGAAGCCCCGGUAAACGGCGGCCGUAACUAUAACGGUCCUAAGGUAGCGAAAUUCCUUGUCGGGU